rnacentral:lncRNA from 1 species
CAAUACAUUGAUGGUUCAUUUAUUUUCACUCUCUUACCUCAAAGUUCAGGGAAUAAGUUGUGGUUAAUCAUACACAUGAUACACGAGCAGAGCAAUUGAAUGUGAGGUUUUCAAGAGCUGGCCACUCUUGAAAAAGGCAAUCACCCUACCUGACCACAUUUUGGUUCAGUGAGAGUCUCAACUGGAAAAACAACUCAUUUAGAAUUGCAGGGCAGGGCGCGGUGGCUCAAGCCUGUAAUCCCAGCACUUUGGGAGGCCGAGGCGGGUGGAUCACGAGGUCAAGAGAUCGAGACCAACCUGGUCAACAUGGUGAAACCCCGUCUCUACUAAAAUACAAAAAAUUAGCUGGGCAUGGUGGCGCGUGCCUGUAAUCCCAGCUACUCAGGAGGCUGAGGCAGGAGAAUUGCCUGAACCCAGGAGGCGGAGGUUGCGGUGAGCCGAGAUCACGCCAUUGCACUCCAGCCUGGGCAGGGAAAGAAGAAUUGGAAACAUGAAACACUGCCAUUGGCCUGGCUGAAAGAUCAGUUCCCAGAAAAAUGCCGUGAAACUACCAUGUUAUACAUCAUGCAGGCUAAGAGUGCAGCCCUGAUGUUGAUUCCUCUGGAAAAAUCUAUCUUGAGCAUGGACAGUGUUAAGAGCCAGAGAUACAAAACGCAUUAACCGGAUCCCUAAGGAGGCCACCCACAGACCACUGCCGAAGAAGAGAACAGAGAAAAAUAAGCGUUUGCCAGGCAAAGGAAAUGGCAAAGAGUAUUCUCAGCAGAACAAAUAACAUA